rnacentral:misc_RNA from 1 species
GUCAAUGCACUGAAUUGACUCCGAGCCAGAUCCAAAAGAGCCCUCCUUCAUAGAAAGGGACACUUUGCCACUUGGGUUUUGUGGCUGAUGUCUCUUUGCGUCCUAGAGUUCAAGUUUUAAGAGUUGCAGAGAGGUGGAGUCGUGGAUUGGACAGUAAGCUAUAAUGGGAAGAAGAAAAUAUAAAUAAAAUGUUUGGGUGUUUAAUUU